UACGUAGGGGGCGAGCGUUGUCCGGAUUUACUGGGCGUAAAGGGUGAGUAGGCGGUUAUAUAUGUCAGGUGUAAAAAGCUAUGGCUUAACCAUAGUAAGCACUUGAAACUGUAUGACUUGAGUGCAGGAGAGGUAAGCGGAAUUCCUAGUGUAGCGGUGAAAUGCGUAGAUAUUAGGAGGAACACCGGUGGCGAAGGCGGCUUACUGGACUGUAACUGACGCUGAGUCACGAAAGCGUGGGUAGCAAACAGGAUUAGAUACCC
rnacentral:rRNA from 1 species